rnacentral:misc_RNA from 1 species
AGGCAAUUCUCGGAAAUGUAGAUCGUAAAGGUGCAUGAGUGGUGUUUGGUUUGUUACGGGUGGUUGGCUCUUUGCUUGCGCAACAACUUCCACCUGGCUUACCUUUUCAUUUGUUGCUUAAGGCUUUAGCCUUAUUGAAUUGCGGGUUUCCUGUGUUGUCUACCGAUGUGAUGGUAUUAUGCUUGGUUGAUCUGUGUUGCUCUUUGUCUUGCCAUAAAUGUGGCAUAAGAUGAACUUGAUUGCUUGCUCUUUGGACCACAGUGUUUAUGUGUGUACAUUGAUGUUGUGGUUCAUUGAGCAUUGCUUGGUAUCAUGGAUAUAGAAUUUAUGUGUGCAUUGGAAUCUUUAGGAUCCAUGUUUUGCUCUCAUUGAGUUAUGCUUCUAAAAAUGACUUCUUGCUAUGUAUGGGCUUGUACCAACAUGCGAGUUUGUCAAUGAAGGAAUGCUACCUGG